GCCUUCGUGGUUUAGUGGUCAGCACGCUCGACGCGUAUGCGAGAGGUCCGUGGUUCGAGUCCCGGCGAGGGCA
rfam:Stegodyphus mimosarum contig127844, whole genome shotgun sequence.